CCUACGGGAGGCAGCAGUGAGGAAUAUUGGUCAAUGGCCGGAAGGCUGAACCAGCCAAGUCGCGUGAAGGACGACGGCGCCAUGCGUUGUAAACUUCUUUUGUCAAGGGAUAAAACCAGGCACGUGUGCCUGAUUGAGGGUACUUGAAGAAAAAGCAUCGGCUAACUCCGUGCCAGCAGCCGCGGUAAUACGGAGGAUGCGAGCGUUAUCCGGAUUUAUUGGGUUUAAAGGGUGCGUAGGCGGACUGUUAAGUCAGCUGUAAAAGCCCGGGGCUCAACCCCCAGGGGGCGGUUGAACCUGGCUGUCUUGAGAAGUCGAGAGGUAGGCGGAAUGCGCGGUGUAGCGGUGAAAUGCUUAGAUAUCGCGAAGAACCCCGAUUGCGAAGGCAGCAUACCAGCGGCGAUCUGACACUGAGGCACGAAAGCGUGGGUAUCGAACAGGAUUAGAUACCCGAGUAGUC
rnacentral:rRNA from 1 species